UACGUAAGAGACUAGUGUUAUUCAUCUUAAUUAGGUUUAAAGGGUACCCAGACGGUCAGUAUAGCUUAUAAAAUGUUAGUACCUGACUAGAGUUUUAUGUAAGAGGGCAGUACUUGAGGAGGAGAGAUGAAAUUUCGUGAUACCAAAGGGACUCUGUAAAGGCGAAGGCAGCCCUCUAUGUAAAAACUGACGUUGAAGGACGAAAGGCACAGAGAACAAAACAGG
rnacentral:rRNA from 1 species